CCUACGGGAGGCAGCAGCGGGGAAUAUUGGACAAUGGGGGGAACCCUGAUCCAGCCAUGCCGCGUGUGUGAAGAAGGCCUUUUGGUUGUAAAGCACUUUAAGCGAGGAGGAGGCUACUCUAGUUAAUACCUAGAGAUAGUGGACGUUACUCGCAGAGUAAGCACCGGCUAACUCUGUGCCAGCAGCCGCGGUAAU
rnacentral:rRNA from 1 species